AAUGUUACGAGAAGAGCUGCAAAGAAAUGUUUUCCAGAAAAUCAGCUGGAACAAGUUCGAUGGCAAUUAGAAUUGUAAUUGACAAGAGCAAAAAAUAAAAGAGGAAAAGCUGUCGUGCGCUCAAAACCUCUGUCAUGUGUGCAGGCCGACGCCCCAGGAUUGCAAUUACUAGAUAAUGCCUGCGUUGGUGUGAUUUCCACUAAUGCAGAUCUUCAUACAUACGGCUGCACCAAUAACGACUUUCUAACCAUCUGCCAAAAAGCCAAGGUUCGAGAGGUUGUUACUGCUCAUUCGUCGUCAAUAUUCAGGCCAGGCUGGAGCGAAAAGUGCGGCCGGUGGAUGGGCAACCCAUCCAACGAUUUCUGCUACCUGAUGAGCGGCAACCAUGCCGUGACCUGGCAGAAGGCGCG